rnacentral:rRNA from 1 species
UACGGAGGGAGCUAGCGUUAUUCGGAAUUACUGGGCGUAAAGCGCACGUAGGCGGCUUUGUAAGUUAGAGGUGAAAGCCCGGAGCUCAACUCCGGAACUGCCUUUAAGACUGCAUCGCUUGAAUCCAGGAGAGGUGAGUGGAAUUCCGAGUGUAGAGGUGAAAUUCGUAGAUAUUCGGAAGAACACCAGUGGCGGAAGGCGGCUCACUGGACUGGUAUUGACGCUGAGGUGCGAAAGCGUGGGGAGCAACAGG